rnacentral:lncRNA from 1 species
UGUCUCCUAGUGGAGAACUGUUCAAGCAAUCUUUCACUGGAUGUGGGUGCCAAGUGUUUGUCACUGGCAACUUAAAUAUUAUUUAACUCAGAUGUUCAGUGUGCACCUCCUAAUUCCAGGCACUAUAUAAGAAACAUGAAUAAGACUUACCUGUUUGCAGAGUUGAGUCUGGUGCUGUGGGGGAUAUGCUGUGAGGGAUAGGCUAAUCCAGAUUUGAGAAGAAGGUUCAAGGGGGUUGUAGAGGGGAUGGGUAUCUAAAGUAAACCAGGAAAAUAAGAGCCAAGAAAAAUGGAUCAAGGUAUACUAGGCAGGUAGAACAGCCUUUACAAAAAAUAUUGCUGGCGCAGUGGCCCCACUUGUAAUUCCAGUGGCUGGGGUGGCUGAGGCAGGAAGAUCACAAGUUCAAAGCCAGCCUCAGCAACAGUGAGGCACUAAGCAAUUCAUUGAGACCCUGUCUCAUAAAAUACAAAAAAGGGCUGGGGAUGCGGCUCAGUGGUUGAGCAUCCCUGAGUUCAAUCCCUGGUGCCCAAAAAAUUUUUUAAAAUAAAAUAUUAAGUCAGGCAGCACGCAUUUGUAAUCCCAGUUACUUGGGAGGCCUGGGCAACUUAGUGAAACUUUAUCUCAAUAAAAGGGUGGGGGUGUAGCUCAGUGGUAGAGCACUUUGCUAGUGUGCCUGAGACCCAGGUUCAAUCCUCAGCACUGCAAACAAUAAAUAUAAUAAAUAUGUGUGUGUGUAUAUCUUAAGAUAUACAUCUUAAGCACAGUUAAGAAAAAGCCAUUAAAAUGUGCAGUAUGAGCUGGCAAUUUCAAUUCCACCUAACCCUAGGAAAGAAAAUGCAUGGGGUGAGUCAGGUGUGGUGGUGCAUACCUGUAGUCCCAGCUGCCCAGAAGACUGAGGCAAGAAGAUUACUCAAGCCCAUGAGCCUGGGACCAGCCUAGCAAGACCUAGUCUCAAAAACAAAAAAAGCAUGGGAUGCACGUAAGAGUGUAUGGUCCCCUGGGUGCGACAGCACAUGUAUGUAAUUUCAGCGGCUCAGUAGGCUGAGGCGGGAGGAUCGAAAGUUCGAAGCCAGCCUCAGUAAAAGCAAGGAACUAAGUAACUCAGUGAGACCCUGUCUCUAAAUCUCUAAAUAAAAUACAAACUAGGGCUGGGGAUGUGGGUCAAGUGCCCCUGCAUUCAAUCCUCGGUACCGCCCCACACACACAGAAAAAAAAGAGUGUAUGGUCCUGUGUUUUUCUCAGUAUAUAAAACUAUAUAGUAGUAGGCAUAAGGAGACAGAAGAUUAUAGUUACAAAUAGUCACUAUGAUCAAGAAAUAUGAUUCCUAAGGAAACCACUAUCUAAAAAAUAACAACAUAAAUGUUAAUAAACAGCAAAGGCUUUUUGUUGAGGCUUUCAUCAUUUCAAGACUUAAUAGUAAACUCUGGGGAGUAUAAUUCAGUGUGAGAGUGCUUGCCUAGCACACAUGAGACCCUGGGUCUGAUCACCAGCACCAAAAAUAUAGAUGAUAGGGCAGAAGUUAAUGUGAAACUGUUCACAUUGCAUAUUUAAUCUUUUGUUGUAUAUAUCU